rnacentral:rRNA from 1 species
UUUUGAAGAACUGUUUUCAGUGCUGGACCAUGUUUAAGUCUGUUGAAAAGCAGCAUCAUAGAAGGUGAUAAUCCUGUUCAUGAUAUGGACUACCAGUGCACUAUGAUACAGUCUCUAAGAGUCGAGUUGUUUGGGAAUGCAGCUCAAAGAGGGUGGUAAAUUCCAUCUAAGGCUAAAUAUUGAUGAGAGACCGAUAGCAAACAAGUACCGUGAGGGAAAGAUGAAAAGAACUUUGGAAAGAGAGUUAACAGUGCGUGAAAUUGUUAAAAGGGAAACAAUUGAAGUUAGACUUGUUAUCACUAGUUCAUCCAAACAUGGAGAAUUCUAGUGGUUAACAGACCAACAUCAGUUUUUGAGUGUUGGAGAAGGGUUUAAGGAAAUGUAGCAGUCUCUGACUGUGUUAUAGUCCUUGAGCUUUGAUAUGAUGCUUAAGACUGAGGAUUUGCAGUAAGACAAAUUUAUAAUUUGGUGGCGCAGAUUAUUGUUCUUCUUACUGAGGAUGUUGGUACAAUAGCUUUAAAUGACCCGUCUUGAAACACGGACCAAGGAGUCUAACAUGCUUGCAAGUAUUUGGGUGAUUGAAACCCUUAUGCAGAAUGAAAGUGAAUGUAAAUGGGAUCUUUGAUUGGAGCACCAUUGACCAGUCCAGAUAUAUUUAUAUGAUGGUACUGAGUAAGAGCAAGUAUGUUGGGACCCGAAAGAUGGUGAACUAUGCCUGAAUAAGGUGAAGCCAGAGGAAACUCUGGUGGAGGCUUGUAGCGGUUCUGACGUGCAAAUCGAUCGUCAAAUUUGGGUAUAGGGGCGAAAG